UCUUGCACUGUUUCCUAGGCUGGAGUGCAGUGGCACAAUCACAGCUCACUGCAGCCUUGACUUCCCCAGGCUCAAGCCAUUCUCCUACCUCAGCCUCCCAAGCAGUUGGGACCACAGGCCUGAGCCGCGCCUUGCUGCUGGGUCUCCACUUGUGGGGAAGAGAGAACUGGACCAGGACAGCGCGGGAAACUGACAAUGCCACUGCUUGCUAGCUUUGGGAUUUUGGACAAAUAGGUGUUUCUUGAUUUCUCUUGGCUGCUCCAGAACCAUAUGGCAAACUAGGGGAUGGCUGGUUUAUAGGGACCAUUGAUAGCUCCCAAGAAAGAACUUACCAGAGGAGUGAAUGAAGUGGAGAUUCUGGAGGAGAGAGGUUGGAAGGAGGCCACCGCUGGAAUGGUGGAAGUGCACCAGGU
rnacentral:lncRNA from 1 species